UCAUGUUGAAACACUGGUUCCUGUAUGAUCACUGAAGUUAAGCAAUGUCGAACCUGGUCAGUACCUAGAUGGGUGACCACUUGAGAAUAUCAGGGGCUGUAAG
rnacentral:rRNA from 1 species